CAGUAGCCGCGGUAAUACGGAGGAUCCAAGCGUUAUCCGGAAUCAUUGGGUUUAAAGGGUCCGUAGGCGGUCUUGUAAGUCAGUGGUGAAAGCCCAUCGCUCAACGGUGUAACGGCCAUUGAUACUGCAGGACUUGAAUUAUUGGGAAGUAACUAGAAUAUGUAGUGUAGCGGUGAAAUGCUUAGAGAUUACAUGGAAUACCAAUUGCGAAGGCAGGUUACUACCAAUUGAUUGACGCUGAUGGACGAAAGCGUGGGGAGCAAACAGGAUUAGAUACCCCCGUAGUCCCUGUCUCUUAUAC
rnacentral:rRNA from 1 species